AAAGCAUUACUCACCGCUAUGUUAUUGUGGUUAUAGUUCCUCAGGACGUCCUGCGUCUGACAUCCCUCUCGGAUAUGUCAGUUGCAAGCUUACCGCAUGGAGUAGGGUUGAUUUGGUAUUGGAUACUUUUUUGUUUCCGUCUGUCUUUAAAAAAAAACUUUAAAACUUUUGGAGGUUGUGUAUGCUGAAGGCCCUAGGGCGCUGACCCUGAGUGGCUCACGGAAAACACGUGAUGUCAUUAAAGUACAUUUUAUGGUUUGGGAGAGCUGACAAACCAGCCCUCAAUAUAUUUACAUCAUAUAUAAUCUUAACUGUCGUGAAUCCCAGCUGUUGGGUCCUCUUAUCUGAGUGGUCGGAGAAGUAUGAGGCGUUUAGUGAGGAUUAUCUAGCCCCCAAUGCUCUGCACUCACAUCGUUCGACUCCGGAAAAUUGUUCCCAGACGAUGCAGAAUGUCACCUGAGAGGCAAAGUGAGGUGGAUCCUGUUCAAUGACAAAGACAGCAGAUGAGCCUAGUUCACCUGUUCCUCUUGGACGGCCACAGGGAUGGAUGCUGUGAGGAACCUGGCUCUUGGGCUCCACCUUGAUAUGAUUCUUUAAGGGAGAAUAUGACUGCAGCAGCACUUCACUCAGUGCUCUGACAAGGACCUAAGUGUAGAAGCUAUGGCCUGCACCAACCUCACUCCUGCAGCAAAUGGUGCAUCCUCUGAUCCCCUAUAGUAAACAGUGCUUCAGCGUUGGGAAACAAGAGGAGCAAACAAGGCUGAACUCUAGAGCUUAACCCCCUUAAACUCGAUCGUUGUUGGAUCAGCAGUGAUUUCGAAUUAAGUGAUGUUGUCCGUAAGCACAUUAGGUUAUGAUUAGUGAGGGCUGUUGAGAGCAGAGUGCUACACCUCUGAGGACUGUUGUCGACCGGCAUGCUAGUGAACUCUCCAGCUCCACGGAUCCUUACCCAUUCCAGUCAGGUUAAUAUGAUAUGUGAUGCUACAGUUGGGGCCUCUCACUAUGACAAGUACCUCUGAUAAGAUUGUUUUGAGGACACACACACACACAAAAUAUUUAGCUAUUUUGCAAACUACCAAUAUCCAGAGGCACAUUGUGAUUCCUCAAGUGAGUUGUUUUCUCAUUGCUAAAGUAGAUGAAUGCAUUAAUUGUAUUUUGCUACAGUGUAUAAAGAUAUUCAUAUUGAAUACUGAAACAAUUUAUAUGUUAAACAUAUGUAUAUGUGUUUUAUACACCUGUGAUAAUGACACACCACCAAAUAUUAUGGAAGCCAUAAACUAUGGAAAAAACAGAUUGAAAUUAAAUUUGUUGUACAGAUUGUGAAAUUGUUUAUUAAAUGCUUUAAUAUGA